UUUCAUAAAAAAUGAUCUUCCCCCUCUUCAGCGCUGCGAUUACGCUGUCAUUUCCAGUUCAGGGCUUUCUGGUCGUGUCAAGUUGAGCGCAUAGCUAUGGAGAACCACAUCGAAGGUGCAUUGAGCGACGUGUUUCCCGGGUACGGCACGGCUUUCAAGUCGUUCGCCACCGAUGCCAUCCACGUCGGCCAAGAACCAGAGCAAUGGAAAUCCAGGGCCGUAGUUCCACUGAUAUCGCUCUCAACCACGUUUAAACAGAGUGAACCCGGAAAACACUACGGCUAUGAAUACAGCCGCAGUGGAAACCCUACAAGAGACUGUCUUGAGAAGGCCGUGGCAGCGUUGGAUGGGGCAAAGCACUGCCUUGCCGUGUCUUCAGGGCUUGCUGCCACCCUGACCAUCACUCACAUGCUGAAGGAAGGGGAUGGAAUCAUCUGCAUGGAUGAUGUUUAUGGAGGGACAAACCGCUACUUCCAAAAAGUGGCUACAGAAUUUGGGCUGCAGAUCACCUUAGUCGAUUGUACCAAACCAACGCUACUGAAGGCGGCUCUCAAGCCCAACACUAAAAUGGUGUGGAUUGAGACGCCAACCAACCCCACUAUGAAAGUUGUCGACAUCCGUGAAUGUUCCGACUUGGUGCACGAUCACAACAAAGACAUUGUGGUUGUUGUCGAUAACACCUUCAUGUCUGCAUUCUUCCAGCGUCCUUUGGCUUUGGGAGCAGAUAUUUGCAUGUACUCGGCCACUAAAUAUAUGAAUGGUCACAGUGACGUGGUUAUGGGCCUUAUGUCAGUCAACCGGGAGGAUCUGUACGACCGACUAAAGUUUCUACAAAACGCUCUGGGAUGUGUGCCAUCCCCUUUUGACUGCUACCUUGUCAACCGCGGGCUGAAGACUUUGCAUCUGCGCAUGGAGCGCCACUUUAAGAACGCCUUGGCCGCAGCCAAGUUUCUCGAGGAUGAUCCUAGAGUGGAGCGCGUCAUCUACCCAGGUCUGCCCUCUCACCCGCAGUAUGAUGUGGUGAAAAAGCAAUGCACAGGAUGUCCUGGAAUGAUCACCUUCUACAUUAAAGGAAAACUCCAACAUGCCAACACCUUCCUCACCAGUCUCAAAAUAUUUGCAGUGGCCGAGAGUCUUGGUGGUUAUGAAAGUUUAGCAGAACAUCCGGCAAUUAUGACUCAUGCGUCGGUGCCUGAGAAGGAAAGGAGCAUCUUGGGCAUUAGUGACACUCUGAUCAGGCUCUCUGUGGGACUGGAGGAUGAGGCGGAUAUCAUUGAUGAUCUGGAUCAAGCACUUGCAGCCGCUGCUGAUUCUGUAAGUUUCAAAAAAGCAGAAAGACAUCAAAGUCUUUUCAAGGCCAGAUGAUGGCCCCUCAACAAGCGUCUUCCCAGAAUUCUCUUCUCAGAACCCAAAGAAGAACUAGUGUCUGCAGGGCUUGUUCUUCGGGAUGAAAGCGCUUAAAUCUUUUAUGGGAACAGAGCAAGAUUUAUCUUAUCUGAGUUUACUUGUUUUUUUGUGUGCUCGUUUUGCAAUGCUUCAAAUGAGCUAAAUGAGACAAAAAUCUUGGGCCAUCAAGAUUGAAGAGUUUGUUGAACACGAGAUUCUUACUAAGUGCAUCAACCAAUGUAUGUCUCAUUACAUAACAUACCAAAACAUCCAUUCUCUUCUGCCACUCUGAAUGUAUCACUGACCGCGCUCGUGCUAUAACACCAACUCCGCUAAGAGAAGCGCAAAUUUCCGUCUUUCCUGUCAAUCAUUUGAUGACAGAAUCUUACUUAUUAUAAAAAUGUGUUCAUACCAAGAACAGCUUUCUGGAUAUUCAUUUUGAAACAUGUGUGUGCAAGAAUGACAUGAUAUCUUCAUUUGACUUGAUUUGUCAUGAAUGUUAAAUGCAUUUUCUCCCAUUUAAUAAAAGAUAUGCUUGUUAGAUGAAUAA